CCGCGAUCCUCCUAGUGAUGGAAGGUUGAUCCCGCCGGAGGUCACUGCUAUCGGGGUUCGAUUAUUUCCCGCGAGUCGAGAGGGUUCAGACCCUCGGCGGACUGCUCAGUAACACGUGGAUAAACUGCCCUAUGGUGGAGGAUAACCCCGGGAAACUGGGGAUUAUACUCCAUAAGUCAGGAGUACUGGAAUGUCUCCUAACUGAAAGUUUCGGCGCCAUAGGAUGAAUCUGCGGCCGAUUAGGUAGUUGUUGGGGUAACGGCCCAACAAGCCCGUAAUCGGUACGGGUUGUGGGAGCAAGAGCCCGGAGAUGGAAUCUGAGACACGAUUCCAGGCCCUACGGGGCGCAGCAGGCGCGAAAACUUUACAAUGCAGGAAACUGUGAUAAGGGAACCCCGAGUGCCCGUACACGCGGGCUGUCCCGGUGUUUAAAACACAUCGGAAGAAAGGGCCGGGCAGGACCGGUGCCAGCCGCCGCGGUAAUACCGGCGGCUCGAGUGGUGACCACUUUUAUUGGGCUUAAAGCGUUCGUAGCUUGAUUUUUAAGUCUCUUGGGAAAUCUCACGGCUUAACUGUGAGGCGUCUAAGAGAUACUGGGAAUCUAGGGACCGGGAGAGGGUAGAGGUACUUCAGGGGUAGAAGUGAAAUCUGUAAUCUUGAGGGGACACGAUGGCNAGGAAUCUUACCGAACGGCUCGACAGUGAGAACGAAGCUGGGGAGCGACGGUAUAGAUACCCGGUAGUCCAGCGUAACUAUGCCGUAGGUGGCUGUACUCCAGUACGGGNGCCAAGUGAACCUGAACUGCGCUGGAAUACGCCCAGCUGACUAAGGGAUGCGGGAGCCAACGGUGACUGGGUUAUGACCACCCGCAUCCGAAGACCGAUUAUCGCUAACUCUUCAUGAGAGUCUGCUCC
rnacentral:rRNA from 1 species